rnacentral:rRNA from 1 species
GACGAACGCUGGCGGCGUGCUUAACACAUGCAAGUCGAACGGUAAGGCCCUUCGGGGUACACGAGUGGCGAACGGGCGAGUAACACCUGGGUGAUCUGCCCUGCACUUCGGGAUGAGCCAGGGAAACCGGGUCUAAUACCGGCUAGGACCACUUCCUGCAUGGCUGGUGGUGGAAAGCUUUGGCGGUGUGGGAUGGGCCCGCGGCCUAUCAGCUGGUUGGUGGGGUGAUGGCCUACGAAGGCGCCGACGGGUAGCCGGCCUGAGAGGGGGCCCGGCCACACUGGGACUGAGAGACGGCCCAGACUCCUACGGGAGGCAGCAGUGGGGAAUAUUGCACAAUGGGCGCAAGCCUCAUGCAGAGACGCCGGGUGAGGGAUGACGGCCUUCGGGUUGUAAACCUCUUUCAGCACCGACGAAGCGCAAGUGACGGUAGGUGCAGAAGAAGGACCGGCCAACUACGUGCCAGCCGCCGCGGUAA